UACGAAGGGGGCUAGCGUUGCUCGGAAUCACUGGGCGUAAAGCGCACGUAGGCGGCUUCUUAAGUCAGGGGUGAAAUCCUGGAGCUCAACUCCAGAACUGCCUUUGAUACUGAGGAGCUUGAGUCCGGGAGAGGUGAGUGGAACUGCGAGUGUAGAGGUGAAAUUCGUAGAUAUUCGCAAGAACACCAGUGGCGAAGGCGGCGCUCUGGACCGAGACUGACGCUGAGGCGCGAAAGCGUGGGGAGCAAACAGG
rnacentral:rRNA from 1 species